GCAUAUCAAUAAGCGGAGGAAAAGAAACUAACAAGGAUUCCCUUAGUAACUGCGAGUGAGGAGGGAAGAGCUCAAAUUUAAAAUCUGGCAGUCUCUGGCUGUCCGAGUUGUAAAUUAGAGAAGUGUUAUCCGCGUUGGCCUGUGCAAAAGUCUCUUGGAAAAGAGCAUCAUAGAGGGUGACAAUCCCGUCUUUGGCACAGACUACCAGUGCUGUUGUGAUACGCUCUCGAAGAGUCGAGUUGUUUGGGAAUGCAGCUCUAAAUGGGUGGUAAAUUCCAUCUAAAGCUAAAUAUUGGCGAGAGACCGAUAGCGAACAAGUACCGUGAGGGAAAGAUGAAAAGAACUUUGAAAAGAGAGUUAAAAAGUACGUGAAAUUGUUGAAAGGGAAACGAUUGAAGUCAGUCGUACCGACGAGAAAUCAACUCAUCGAAUGGGUAAUUGCGGGCGUAUGAGAGCUUCACGGCCUCAUCGUUUGCGAAUGCAUGUUCUUUGGGUGUACUUUUUCGUAUGGUAGGUUAACGUCGGUUUCGAUUACUAUAAAAUGAUCGGAGGAAUGUAGCUUCGAUUUCGGUUGAAGUGUUAUAGCCUUUGGUAGAUGUAGGGAUUGAGACCGAGGAUUGCAACGAAUACCCUUUUGGGCUAUCCGUCUGACCUCUGAAAGUUGCUUAGGUGCCGAAAGCUUGCUUACGGUUAUUUAAGUUUGCGGUCAAAAGGUUAGAACGUGAUUACAUUCGUUAAGGAUGUUGACGUA
rnacentral:rRNA from 1 species